rnacentral:rRNA from 1 species
AUGAGGGCGUCAUCUUCGCCCGCUACGCCGGCGGCUCGUGCGACCGCAGCGUGGGCCGUCGUACUGCUCGCCGCGCUCUGCUCCGUCUCCCUGGCGUCCGCGUCCGUCGACUCCGUCUCCCUCGCGCCCGCCUCCGUCUCUCUCGCGCCCGCCUCCGUCGACGCAGGAUUCUCGCCGACGCCCGCCGCUCCCGCCCCUACCCCCGGCUCCUCGGCGGCUCCUCCGCGCCCGCCAUAUCGCGCCGUCCUUCCCCGCAAGGUCCUCCGCCCGGCAGGCACGGACGUGGACCUCGGCGGAGUCCGGCCCCACCGCGUGGACGAGGGUUGCACCGGCAAGGAGGACAUCGCCAUCUACCAGGGCCGGGGGACAAAGCUGCCGAGCGGGGUGCCGGCGUACACGGUGGACGUGAUGAACCGGUGCUCGGGCGGCAACGGCGACUGCGCGAUCGCUGGCAUCCAUGUGCGGUGCGGCUGGUUCAGCUCCGUCAGCCUGGUGGACCCGCGCAAGUUCCGGCGGCUCGCGCGCGACGACUGCCUCCUCAACGACGGCCAGCCACUCCUCGCCGGCGAGACCAUCUCGUUCGAGUACUCCAACUCGUUCCCCUACCAGCUUUCCGUCGCCGUCGCCACCUGCGUCGACCCGGCCGCGGCCACCUCCCCGUAG